rnacentral:misc_RNA from 1 species
GAAAUGCGAUAAGUAAUGUGAAUUGCAGAAUUCAGUGAAUCAUCGAAUCUUUGAACGCACAUUGCGCCCGCCAGUAUUCUGGCGGGCAUGCCUGUCCGAGCGUCAUUUCAACCAUCAAGCCCCCGGGCUUGUGUUGGGGACCUGCGGCUGCCCGCAGGCCCUGAAAACCAGUGGCGGGCUCGCUGUCACACCGAGCGUAGUAGCAAUCACCUCGCUCAGGGCGUGCUGCGGGUUCCGGCCGUUAAACAGCCUUACAAAACCCAAGGUUGACCUCGGGUCAGGUAGGAAGACCCGCUGAACUUAGGC